CUGUGUGCUGUGUUCAGCGGAGGCACCCACCUUAUGCUCCAAGGUGAGUCUCCCUCUCUCCUUCCUCUUUGGGGUCUGCACUGAAAUCGAGGGCUUUUUUCUUCCUUUGUUUCCUGACUUGGGUUGAGGUAGGACUCUCUGGGCCUGUAACCCUCAUUCUUUUAGAAUGUCCCUUCACUUUAGCCUUUCACUCUUCUCUGACCCCUGGAGCGGACAUCAUGAGACAAUCCCCGUGACCCCUUCCUGCUCUCUCCUUUUGACCCUGAGCUCUCUCUUCAGAGGAGCUCCUUCUCUGGACUCUGGGGCUGAAGUCAUCUUCAUUUUCCCUGGAGGGGUAGUUCCACUCUUGCCCAUUAUGCCCAGAGAAUAUUCCAGAACAGGAGAUUAGGGUAGCAGAGCCCAGGAUAACCACCCUACACACUUUCCCUAUAUUCACUAUUCUUUUGUGGACCAUGUCCACCUCCAGCCAUCCUGGGGCCCACUCAUGGUCUCCAGGAUGACGUCUGAGCUCCUCCUCGGAAUCAUGGGUCCUCACAGUCUGGUAAUGUGGGACAAGAAUCCCCCUCCUUGAAAGGGAGGAGAGCCUGAAACCAAUAUGGAUGGACAUCCUGUAUGAAGACACGGGGGAGACGGAUCUGGAGGGAGAUCUUCAGGCAGACAGAUGCCCCAGGACAGACAGAUUCCCCAAGGAAAGAUGAGACCUCAAGGCUGAUGCCAGCCAGCGCCAAGGGAGCAGAGCGUGGGAGGAGGAAUUAUGAGGACGUGUGAGCCUGAAGAGACAGAGGCCAAAGAGAGCACCCAAACUCCCCAGUCUCUCCAGGAUUCUCGCAGUGGGCUGGGGGAAUCCUUGGCACCCAGUGGGAAAGUAACCCAAGCGGAGAGGCUCACAGUCCCCCAGGGGCAUCUCCCAGGAAACCAGCCAGGACAUGAGAAGUCCAGUCACCGAACAUCAGUCCCUCUGCUCUCUCCUUACUCCUGUUCCUCUUCCAUCACAGGGCUGUGCCCACUCCUUGCCACCUCCCUGGUCGGAGCUGUCCAUGGCCAAUAGCCUCUAGAUAAGUCUCGCUCUCUGCCCCAGUUGGGACCCUCUACAUCCUCCUGUCCUCUCUUUCCUCAGCCUGGAGUCCCUGUUCUGGCCUGGACCCCCUCUAUUCCUGGCCCUCACUCCUUGGGAUGCCCUCCUCCCUUCCCAGCUCAGCUCUUGUCUACCCUCACCCCUCCCUGUUACUCCCAAGGGCUGGACCAUCCAUGGGGUCCAGGACACUCCAGCAGCUUCCUGGGCUCUUAAAUCCGGGACCCAUCUCAAUUCCUCACCCGAUGGCAGGUUCAGAGAUGUAAGAGGACUUGGAGGAAGCCAGGAAGGA
rnacentral:lncRNA from 1 species